AGCGAACGCUGGCGGCAGGCUUAACACAUGCAAGUCGAGCGGGCAUCCUUGUGGUGUCAGCGGCAGACGGGUGAGUAACGCGUGGGAACGUGCCCUUCGGUUCGGAAUAACUCAGGGAAACUUGAGCUAAUACCGGAUACGUGCGAGAGCAGAAAGGUUUAUCUGCCGAAGGAUCGGCCCGCGUCUGAUUAGCUAGUUGGUGAGGUUACGGCUCACCAAGGCGACGAUCAGUAGCUGGUCUGAGAGGAUGAUCAGCCACACUGGGACUGAGACACGGCCCAGACUCCUACGGGAGGCAGCAGUGGGGAAUAUUGGACAAUGGGGGCAACCCUGAACCAGCCAUGCCGCGUGAGUGAUGACGGCCUUAGGGUUGUAAAGCUCUUUUCUCCGGGACGAUAAUGACGGUACCGGAGGAAUAAGCCCCGGCUAACUUCGUG
rnacentral:rRNA from 1 species